CCAGCAAUGUCCCUCCAGACCAAUGCGCUGUGGGUCAGUCUAAGUGUGUCUGAAUCUUGAGCUUGAAUAUGACCAAGUGGAAAAAGCAAGGUCAGAGAGAUGCUGUAAAGUCACAUGACACCACGCAGGUGGCUGCGUCUGCUAGGCCCACUACACUGCAAAUAGAAAGCCCUGGCCCUGGAUGGUGGAUGAAGUCCUAUCAUCCCAGCAUGUGGAAAGGGAACAAGGCCGAGGUUGAGGACAGCUUGCAUGGUAAGGCCCUUUCACAUGUUCCUCCCUCAGUGUGGAAAUCAUUCUCCCCGUUCCUACUUGGCCAACUCCUGUGAUUGGGUGUCACGUCAUUUUCUCCCGGAAAGCCACCCCCCUUCUCCAAUAUCACCUGGAUGAACACUUACCGAGCGUUUAUCAUGCUGCCUCCCAUUGUCUGUUCUUUAAGCAAUUCACUAUGUGAAGAGAAGGAAAAGGCUGGAGAAGUGACUCCGUGGCUAAGAGCGUUUAUUGCCUUUCCAGACAACCUAAGCUUGAUUCCCAGUACUCACAUAGUAUGUCUCACAAUGGCCUGAAACUCCAACUGCAGGGGAACAUACAGAUUUGACAUUUAUGGGAACCUACAUACGUAUA